UACAGAGGUGCCGAGCGUUAGGCGGAAUCACUGGGCUUAAAGCGUGUGUAGGCGGAAGGGUAAGUACCUUGUGAAAUCCCACAGCUCAACUGUGGAACUGCUUGGUAUACUGCCAGUCUUGAGCCACUUAGGGGCUACCGGAACAAAUGGUGGAGCGGUGAAAUGCGUAGAUAUCAUUUGGAACGCCAAUGGUGAAAACAGGUAGCUGGGAGUGUGCUGACGCUGAGACACGAAAGCCAGGGGAGCAAACGGGG
rnacentral:rRNA from 1 species